rnacentral:lncRNA from 1 species
AUGUCACCAACGAUGUUAUAUGUUUGUCCAUGGGAAUUCUUGCCACCUCCUGCAACAGAAACUGGGAAUGGUAUUCAGUCUGAUGGUGAUUCCACAAAACCCAAGCCUCUGAUCUCCUCUAGCGCUCCAGGGUCACCACACACAAUCUCCGGCAAGAACAAGGGCUUUCAGGUUUUGUCUUUCCACUCCACUACCAAAAGUCUACUUGCAGCGAAAGGCAUUGGGGAAGUUGGAAGAAGUAUGAGCAGAGAGAAAAGCCUACAAGAGAGUAAUGUUAGGGAAGGAACACUACAGAAAUCUUUGUCUACUUCCAUGAGACUGUGCCCAGGCAGUGCAGCUUCAGACAAGCGUACCCCUCAGACACACAGACGGGCUAUGACUACUGUAGGCACAAAGCCUUGCCUUGUCAAACAAACAGCAGUACGGCUGCCAUCUACUGAUUCUCCUGAAAGGAGUCCCAAACAUUCUGCUCCAGUUCACAUCUGUCCAUGGGAGUCAGAGGAGGUGGUCUUAGAGAUCAGGAAGCAGAAUUUGAAUGACAACGUAUUACAAAGACAGUAUAGUGACAAGCAAGUAAUAUCUGUGACACUAAGUAAUGAUGUCUUCAAACCCCCUGAGUUCCAAGUGAAAUCAUUAUUGGGUGUUCCUAAUACAGAAGUAUGUCCAUGGGAUGUCCCAAAACCUUUUCAGCAAACCAGCAUUUCUGAAGUCUGUCCUUGGGAGGUUGUGGAAGUAGAGCAAUUGCAAACCCAAAACGUACAUACCGAUGUCUGUCCUUGGGAAACAGAUGGUGAGCCAUCAAGAGUCACUGAAGACAAUAUACAUAAUACCAGUGUUGAAGUUCCUAUGUCUGAAGACACCCAGAAGCAGGUAAAUGUGAAGCCUGAAGCAUGCUCUUCUUGUGUACUAGACACAAAUAUCUCUCAGGUUAGACAGGGAUCCAUCAAAACCUCUAGUGACUCAAUAAAACAUGGUGAAAGGGUCAUUUAUGUUAAUGCAAAACAGAGUCCAGAAGACCAAGAGAUGCAGAGACACACAGGUUCAGAGGAACCAAGUUGUAUACUGAAACAAGAAAUGAGUGAUUUUCCUGAACCACCACCUCCUGUAACUGAUGUAAGUUCUUUGGAGUCUGAACCAAAAGACACUACAAGACAGUCAUUAAAAGAGACCAUGCCUAAGAAAGCAACUGUUUGCCCGUGGGAAGCGGAGGAUUCUGGGAUGUCGGAAGAGAAUGUGGGUGCUACAAACAAGGGGCCAGUUCAUGUAAAUGUGUGUCCAUGGGAAGCAAGUGACUCUGUGAAGACCACACAGAAACAAGAAAGUGUCUGUGGAGAUGUCUGUCCAUGGGAGACAGCAGAGCCAUCAAAGACAAUGCAGAAACAAGAAAGUGUCCAUGCAAAUGUUUGUCCUUGGGAGACAGCAGAGACAUUAAAGACAAUGCAGAAACAAGAAAGUGUCCAUGCAGAUGUAUGUCCAUGGGAGGCAAGUGAGCCAGUUAAGACCCUGCAAAAGCAAGAAAGUGUCCGUGCAGAUGUUUGUCCUUGGGAGACAAGUGAGCCAGUCAAGACCCUGCAAAAGCAAGAAAGUGUCCAUGCAGAUGUUUGUCCUUGGGAGACAAGUGAGCCAGUCAAGACCCUCCAGAAACAAGAAAGUGUCCAUGCAGAUGUUUGUCCUUGGGAGACAGGUGAGCCAGUGAAGACCCUCCAGAAACAAGAAAGAGUCUACUCAGAUGCCUGUCCGUGGGAGGCAAAACAAUCACCCAAACGAUCUUUGCCACAAGACUGCACUCAUGCCAGCUCAUCAAAAAGGCAAGACAGUGCUCAAGAAUCUGUCCGUCUCAAGGAAAAUGAUAUGGGAACACCACCAGCAAUAGAAAGCAGCACAAGUCAAACUGCCCCAGAUAUUAGUGAGAUACACCCUUCAGACACAGGCAUACAGACAGCAGAAGAGAUGAGAGUUAACCCUCCUCUGGCUCGACGGGAUGCACUGUGCCCUUGGGAAAUGGGAGGGGGCAGACAAGAAUCUAUAACAGUGCAUGAUAAUUUAGAUGUCUUCACUUGGGAGGAGACAAUACCAGAGGAAGAUGAUGGUGAUGCAGAAACUGCUGCAGAGGCCUUCAUCUUCCCUCCAGACUUGUGA